rnacentral:lncRNA from 1 species
UAGGAUAAUUUAGGAGCUUUUUAUUGUAAUAAAAUGUCUUUUGAAUGACACAGAUUUUUAUGUUGGCUAGGUGAUGACAAUGGAUAAUUGCGUGAAAAUCAAACUAAAAGAAUGCAAUCUUGAGGAGUUAAUCCCCACAUUUGAAGCACAGGAGCGAACCUUUUCUCGUUUUUAGGUCAAUUUGAAUACAAUUCAGAGGGGUGGCAUGGGGGGCGCAGUGGGUAGUGCUGUCGCCUCACAGCAAGAUGGUCGCUGGUUUGAGCCUUGGAUGGGUUUCCCCUCCACAGUCCAAUGACAUGCGGUGUAGCUGAAUUGG